AUGAAGAACGUAGCGAAAUGCGAUACGUAAUGUGAAUUGCAGAAUUCAGUGAAUCAUCGAAUCUUUGAACGCAUAUUGCGCUCUCUGGUAUUCCGGAGAGCAUGCUUGUUUGAGUAUCAGUAAACACCUCAACUUCCAUAUCUUUUUUGAAAUGGGAGUUGGACUUGAGUGAUCCCAACGCUUUUCCUCACCGAAAAGUGGCGGGUUACUUGAAAUGCAGGUGCAGCUGGACUUUUCUCUGAGCUAUAAGCAUAUCUAUUUAGUCUGCCUAAAAAACAGAUUAUUACCUUUGCUGCAGCUAACAUAAAGGAGAUUAGUUCUUGUGCUGACUGAUGCAGGAUUCACAAAGACAGGCUUCGGCCGACUUUGUAAACUCGAUCUCAAAUCAAGUAAGACUACCCGCUGAACUUAAGCAUAUCAAUAAGCGGAGGA
rnacentral:misc_RNA from 1 species